GGAUGUGACGGGGACCUGGCUGCAUCCUCUCUUCCCCACUGAUGACCAGGGUUUAUUUAGUUGCUCUGACCAUCAAGACCGGCUUCUCCUUCCUCCGUUACCAUUCCAGGAGGGCCCCUGUGGAAGCUGCAGUCCCAGUGGAGAAGGGUGACCUUCUCAGAUAAAGGCGACCGUUUCUUGGGAAGGGGGAGGGCAGUGGUUUUGCUCCCUGACACAGCGGGGCUUAUGGGAGAACUCCCUCCAGGAAGCCCUGACUAACCGCUUCAUCUGGAAGUGGCCUUU
rfam:Camelus ferus unplaced genomic scaffold scaffold661, whole genome shotgun sequence.